CUAGGAUAGUGGUAAGCUGCCGAUCAUGAUUUUAUACAGCGUGCCAUAUGCGGCCCAAUGGAUUUUCUUUUCCUCACAAUUUCUUUGCCUUAAUCGGGAUAAGAUUUCACUACUUUGCCUUGAUCUGUCAUUCUAGAGGCUGACAACCAAUCAGAAAUUCUGUUGUCUCGCUAGGAAAUUCAACAUUACUUUAGAUUUGUGUAUUAUAAUUUUAAACCUUACUCAUUCAAUUGGCUCAGUUAUGCCAGUCAAACCUUACCGUUACCAGCAAUUCCCACGAGAGAAAAGAUAAAGAGAUCGCACAGCGCAUUGAUACACACCUAAGAAUUCCCUACCAAGAAGUUUGAAAGUUACAACCGGAAAUUGAUCGUUCUAGCAGAACAUCAUGUGCACAGCAGUCCUUAGCCCUAAUUGGAAGAAAAUGAAAUGUUACAUUCGUCAAUCACUCUGUAGCUAAAUAUAACUUGAGCAAAACUGCACGCUGUGUUCAGCAAAGGUAGAAUGAAUAUAAUCGAAGAGGAGAAAAUGCAGGUGGCGUCCAUCUUCCAAACAUACGGUUAUCGCCGAAAGUUCAAAGAAACAAAUCUUUGAUGUUCAUUCGAAUCAACUACGGCAAGAAAGAUACUCGAAGUAAAAAAAAAGUAUAAUGAUUGGGUUUGUUAUGCGUCAGCAUCGUAUGGGUUCUGUUCUUGUCUCAUGUGAGAAAUCGCUGUGUCACGGAGUGGAUGGCCUAGGCCAUUCUGCACAACCUAUUAUGUCGCGCUUCAUGUCAGGGUUUUGUCUCUUCCCUGUGCUUAGACCGUAUUAUUGAUUUGUUGGGAAUUGGUACUAUGUUAUUCUGGUUCCCUUGCGUUUGCCCGUUCUGGUUUUUCCUUUCCAUCGUUUACUGUCCCAUCAGCGCAUUAAUAUCUUCGCAGGAAACACCAAGGGCCGUAUCUUUGCUUUCAAAUUGCGUUCCUGUGUAUGAAAAUAUGUGGGUGAAUAAUUGUCAUUCAGGCGCGGAUGGCCAGUGGUUCAGCAGCAGCAUCUGAGACGAUCACUUCUUAGGCGAUCACUUUCACAGGUAAUCACACCGCCUCAGUGCGAGUGUACAGCCGAAAGCUUUCCUCGCUUUGUGCCGAGAUUGCUAUCUGAGGGUGUACAGAAUAGUGCAAGGUUUCCUGUCCGCAUCUCUCUUUUGUUUUUCACAUACACGUGGGAUGUUUUUCUUUCUUUCAUUUUUCAUGAGUGCCAAGAACAAACGAUCCACAUGUGCCUGUCAUACACGGACUGUCCAUCAAAGGCGAUGCUCGCUUUUCGUGGGUCCUCAUCGGGUCAAGCACUGGACGCAUCACCGUGGCCGACUACAGGAAUAACGCCACCAAGGGGACCUGCGUCUUGCUGCCUGACCUGCAGAACGGGUGGCGAAGCCUUCUAGCACGAUGGUGCCUCGGAGCCUCCACUGCGGAUCUGGUUGCCAGCUGAUCUUGCGACCUGGUAUCUCAACGCCAGUCCAGUUGUUCUGCCUUCAUGUGUUGCUGCGCACCCCGUACACCUCAUGGCAAGCUGUUUUUGUGGCCUCCUCCCGGGCUGCUGAAAAGAUCGCACAUGCGCUAAGGAAUCACAGGCUUGUAGCGGAGCAGGCAGGAAGCUGUAUGUCGGGCUCAAGGAAGCAGUUGACGUAUUUGUUGCAAACUGAGGUCUCCGUGUCACCCUCAAAGAGCAACGUGCUCAUCGCAUGUGGCGAUGAUGGCGAGGACCUCCCCACCACGGACUUGGAACUGCAAUCCCUCGAUCGGGAGCAACCUGCUGCCGGACCGCCGAACAGACGCUGACCCAGGCUGGAAAAGUUCACCUGGAACGUCAAGUCUCGAACCGGCGUCAGAGUGGCCACAUUUAUUGUCACGACAACGAGGCAAUUGACACCAUUGCUCGAAAUCCCAACAAACGCGUGGUUACACACAUACACACAAAUAAAGAGACUCCAAACAGCGCUGGCCGCAUGGCCAGGAGAGGACGACGAUGGCGGCGUUCAGCGCCGAUGACGUGCAAGACGACUCACGCUUUCGUACCACGAGUCCAACUAAUAAGUAUUUGCGGGGUAGAUCUUCGGUAGCCUCAGGAUAGGUUGGGGCGGGUCAUCGAAAUAGAGCUUCGGUAACACAGGCUUACGGAGUUACCCUGUUGGUAUCGGCAGAGGAAACUCGAGGAGUGAAACGGUGGGUGGCAUGAAUAGCCCGCCGAACGGAAAACCACGCACGCCGACGAAAUGUGAUGUUCACGGGAGCGUAUUCCCGCAAUGUGUUCUUCAUCCAGUCACCAAUGUGUUUCUGCACCCUUUUAACCCUGUACUGCACAACGCAGAUUCUGUAUAGUGCGCGUUUGAGAUUUCGUAAUUUAAAUUUGCGUACGUGGAACACAAGUAGCCGUACUAAUUCACCAUCAGGGUAUUUUCAUGUCCACUACAUGAAGAAGGCCUCUCCCAGCGAUCUCGCAUUACCGCUAUCCUGUGCCAGCUACUUCCAACUUGCGCCUGCGAAUUUUCUUAUCUCAGCUCGACUGCGCUUCCGUUUUCUUGGCACCCAUUUUGUAACCCUAACGCUCCAACGUUUAUCCAUCCUACGCAUUACAUAGCCUACCCAGCUCCAUUCCUUUCUCUUUAUUUCGAUUACAAUAGCGCGUAUCCCUGUUUACCCUCUAAUCCACAGCUCUUCUCCCGUCUCUGAACGUUACGCCUAACGUUAUUGGCCCCAUUGCUCUUUCCGCGGUCUUGUUCUCGAGCUUCUUCAACCUACAUGUUUCGGCCUCAUAUGUUGGCGCCAGUAGAAUGCAGUGAUUGUAGACUUUUUCUGCGACAGUGUUUUUUUAGUCAUAGUGGCUUUUUUCUCCCGCUCAGGAUCUGGCAAUGCUUGCCGUACGCACUCCAACUUAUUCUUUCGCUUCUGUAAAUUGCUUUGUCUUGAUCAGCGUCUCUUGCGACUUCUGACCUAGGUAGAUGGACUCGUUCACAGACCCUAGAGGCUGAUUGGCAAUCCUGAACUUUUGUUCCCUUGCCAGGUUAUUGAUCAUUUCUCCUGAUAUUAAUCCAACUGCACCAUUACGCUUUUUGUUAAGGCCCUCAAUCAUUUGUAAUUCCUCCCCGUGUUGCUUAACAGGACGUCGUCUGCAAACCGAAGGUUGCUGAGAUGUUGGCCGUUGAACCUCUCGUAGUCCAUAUUUUGGCAGCUUUCGUACUGUGAAGCAUGCAGUGAAUACCAUUGGAGAGUUUGCGUCUCCUUCACUGACUGUUUUAUGCGUACAUUUCUACUUUUCUUGUGGAGAAAAAAGGUAGCUGAGGAAUGGUUUGAGCUAUUUCCGAAUAUAUUCACGUAUGCCAUAUGUACUUCUUGAUUACGUAAUACUUCUAUGAAAAUGCAUUUGAUUCCUUAGAGACACCAGCAGUCGUAAUGAAUGAAAGGAUUGUAGAGUGGAUUGUAGAGUCGAUUGCCUUACUGAUGACAGGAGGAAGAAGAGAAGGGAAAGAGAUCUGUUGAACAUCCCGAAGCCAGCCUUUUAUUUUGCCUCACUGAGGUUGAGUGGUGGCUUUACUCAAUGGGAAAUUCGUGAAUUUGUUGGAGCCAUGUGGCGGUUGUGAUUAGGUUCGGAAUCUAAUUGCAAACGAGCGCUUGCUGAACUUAUUCACAGUGGAAAUGUGUCCUCGAAGACGAGAAAUCGAGGAAAUUCUAUGAUUUUUCUUAUGUGGAACUGUGUUUGGGCACUACAGGGUUAACUACUCCCUAAUACUAUUCGCGUUAGUGUUGUGUGCUUUGAACAGUGAACUCUGCAAUGUAUUUGGAGACUUCCGCAACUAGCGGUUUCGUUAACGGACAACGAAGCCUCGUCGGACACGUUACUUAUACUGCUAUUCACAGAGAAUCGCAAGGACUCGCCAGAGGUCGAGUAAGUAAGAAAAAAAAAAUCUGGCAAUGACCUAUGACGCGCCACUGGUGCCUAUCGAUGAUGUAGCCGGUGCAGAUACCCAUGCCACUGGCAUUAUGCGCAAGCUAAGCAAUCGUCUUUCAGGAUUGAAGAGACUGUUCGAUUGACCGGUUCAGUUUAGCGUUUGCAACCGAACAAUCGCAUUACGUACGUGAAGAAAUAUCGACCCUGGACACGUCCUGAACGUUAGUGGCGUUUUGCGGCUUGCGUGCGCUAUGAUAGCGUACGGUAUUUGAGAAGUUUCAGGUUCGAGUGUCCGUACGCUUAGUAGUGUCGAACAUGGCGGCGCCCAUGGCUCCAGCUUCAGCGUAUGUUCUGAUAACCGCUCUCUGAGACGCGUUUGUCACCAGUACCUAUAAAAAUGAGUGUUAUAGGUACUGGCGACCUGAAACUCGCCUGAAACAUUACCGCAUAGCACGUAAAAUUUCAGGUCAGCCGGCGAUUCCGGCGCCCGUAGGCCUAACCAGACACGUCGGCGUAGGAACGGCGAGGCGUUUGCUAAUGGAUUGUCUUGGCUUGGAUACGUUUCGCACGAGGCACCAGACGGCAGUAUGUUUUGCGGAGUCUUUGCGUUUGUGCUCCCAUGCGGUAAACUGGUCGUCUUGAACGGACGCACGCCGGAACAUCCCACAAAUCUGAUUACGUUUAGCGUAAAUCGGCAAACUCGCUUCUUAAACCGUCUGAUAUUUCGUGCUCUAUUGAAGUUCCACCGCGGGCAUUUCUCUGGUGCCCUAUCCUUCGGCAUGAACGGCCGCACGCUUCUGCCUGGCCGGAGGCUUCCUGAAAGCUGUCCUAGAUGGUCUGCGUCUAAAAUGAAGAUUGCAGUGUCUCGAGCAGCUACCGCCUUUCGGGGUCUUGCAAAGUUGAGUUUGAUGUCUCCAUUCUGUGUGUGUGCGUGCGCACGCUGUUUCACACCAGAAAUUUGUAAUAACGUUCA